rnacentral:rRNA from 1 species
GACCCCAGUUUAGGCGGGACUACCCGCUGAGUUUAAGCAUAUCAA